rnacentral:lncRNA from 1 species
GUCACUUGCCCCUUUCUGGACUCAGUUUCCCCAUUACAAAUCGGAUGCAACAGCAUGCUCCUCUGCUGUCUGACACCGGCAGUUACUUUAGUGGCAGUAAUGGAGGUUUCAAACGCCAUCUCUCCUUAUUCAGUUCCAGGAGCCCUACAGCCUGGAAUUUUGUGUGCAUGCUCAGCAAGCAUUCUGAGCCACAUCCUCGGCCUCCCAGCUUGGCUCGUAACCGGCAGGCCUCUGGAUCCACCUAGAAGGAAUAAUUACAGUUCUGUACAGUGUA